UAUUUUCACAAUAUACUACAGUAACAUCAAUAUGAUAUUCAAUAAUAGAGUAUGGUUUACAUUUAUAGUCACAGAACAACACACUUCACAUAUUUACUCUAACACAAUAUAGUUUACUGAAAAGGUUUUCAUGAUAGAAGGCUGACAUUUUGGAGAAAAUAAAUUAGGGUCCUAAAAAUAAAAAAAUAGGAUGAAUGGCUAAAAGUAACCUAGAAGAAUAAAUCAGAUCUGAUAAAGAGAGAGGGACAACUGAAUGUAAAUUAAU
rnacentral:lncRNA from 1 species